rnacentral:rRNA from 1 species
GAAUAUUGCACAAUGGGCGCAAGCCUGAUGCAGCGACGCCGCGUGGGGGAUGACGGCCUUCGGGUUGUAAACCCCUUUCGCCCACGACGAAGCCCUUCGGGGUGACGGUAGCGGGAUAAGAAGCACCGGCCAACUCCGCGCACGCAGCCGCAGUCAUACGUAGGGUGCGCGCGGUGUCCGGAAUUACUGGGCGUAAAGAGCUCGUAGGUGGUUUGGCGCGUCGUCUGUGAAAGUCCAGCGCUUAACGCUGGGAUUGCAGGCGAUACGGGCUUACUUGAGUGCUGUAGGGGAGACUGGAAUUCCUGGUGUAGCGGUGAAAUGCGCAGAUAUCAGGAGGAACACCAAUGGCGAAGGCAGGUCUCUGGGCAGUCACUGACACUGAGGAGCGAAAGCAUGGGUAGCCAACA